CGUAGGGUCCGAGCGUUGUCCGGAAUUAUUGGGCGUAAAGGGCUCGUAGGCGGUUAGUCGCGUCGGGAGUGAAAACGCCGGGCUUAACUCGGUGCUUGCUUUCGAUACGGGCAGACUGGAGGUAUGCAGGGGAGAACGGAAUUCCUGGUGUAGCGGUGAAAUGCGCAGAUAUCAGGAGGAACACCGGUGGCGAAGGCGGUUCUCUGGGCAUGACCUGACGCUGAGGAGCGAAAGUGUGGGGAGCGAACAGGAUUAGAUACCCUGGUAGUCCACACCGUAAACGUUGGGCGCUAGGUGUGGGGUCCAUUCCACGGAUUCCGUGCCGCAGCUAACGCAUUAAGCGCCCCGCCUGGGGAGUACGGCCGCAAGGCUA
rnacentral:rRNA from 1 species